rnacentral:rRNA from 1 species
UACGAAUGGAGCGAGCGUUGUUCGGAAUCACUGGGCGUAAAGCGUGCGCAGGCGGUUGUGAAAGUCAGGAGUGAAAUCCCAGGGCUUAACCCUGGAAUUGCUUUUGAAACUUCACGACUAGAGUACUGGAGGGGUUGGCGGAAUUUCGAGUGUAGCAGUGAAAUGCGUAGAUAUUCGAAGGAACACCGAUGGCGUAGGCAGCCAACUGGACAGUUACUGACGCUCAUGCACGAAAGCGUGGGGAUCAAACAGGAUUAGAUACCCUGGUAGUCCACGCCGUAAACGAUGUGUGCUAGUUGUCGGGCCCUUAGGGCUCGGUGACGCAGCUAACGCUUUAAGCACACCGCCUGGGGAGUACGGUCGCAAGAUUAAA